CUAAUACAUGCAAGUCGAACGAACUCUGGUAUUGAUUGGUGCUUGCAUCAUGAUUUACAUUUGAGUGAGUGGCGAACUGGUGAGUAACACGUGGGAAACCUGCCCAGAAGCGGGGGAUAACACCUGGAAACAGAUGCUAAUACCGCAUAACAACUUGGACCGCAUGGUCCGAGUUUGAAAGAUGGCUUCGGCUAUCACUUUUGGAUGGUCCCGCGGCGUAUUAGCUAGAUGGUGAGGUAACGGCUCACCAUGGCAAUGAUACGUAGCCGACCUGAGAGGGUAAUCGGCCACAUUGGGACUGAGACACGGCCCAAACUCCUACGGGAGGCAGCAGUAGGGAAUCUUCCACAAUGGACGAAAGUCUGAUGGAGCAACGCCGCGUGAGUGAAGAAGGGUUUCGGCUCGUAAAACUCUGUUGUUAAAGAAGAACAUAUCUGAGAGUAACUGUUCAGGUAUUGACGGUAUUUAACCAGAAAGCCACGGCUAACUACGUGCCAGCAGCCGCGGUAAUACGUAGGUGGCAAGCGUUGUCCGGAUUUAUUGGGCGUAAAGCGAGCGCAGGCGGUUUUUUAAGUCUGAUGUGAAAGCCUUCGGCUCAACCGAAGAAGUGCAUCGGAAACUGGGAAACUUGAGUGCAGAAGAGGACAGUGGAACUCCAUGUGUAGCGGUGAAAUGCGUAGAUAUAUGGAAGAACACCAGUGGCGAAGGCGGCUGUCUGGUCUGUAACUGACGCUGAGGCUCGAAAGUAUGGGUAGCAAACAGGAUUAGA
rnacentral:rRNA from 1 species